rnacentral:snoRNA from 1 species
AAAUUCCUACAGAAGAAUCAUUUCUAUAGUAUUCGACCUCCUCUAGGUUCUCCAAAAGAGCCACAGAAUCCACCCUGGUUGAUGAUGGUAUAUCCUCGACACCCUAGAGUGAAAGCUUGGUCCUCUCGCUCUGUCCGCAAGGACGGCGGCAUGCGGCUUGCGCCGCGUGCUGUAUAGAGAGAUGUUCCCGGCGUGGCAACGUGCCGGGAAGCUUAUUGAUGAUCUCGACCCCGUUUGUGGUCUUGCCCUCGGGCGCACGGGCGGGGUGGGUGUCGACGGACGUCUGACAGGC